rnacentral:rRNA from 1 species
GGGCCCGCACAAGCGGUGGAGCAUGUGGUUUAAUUCGAUGAUACGCGAGGAACCUUACCAGGGCUUAAAUGUAACGGGACAGAUCUAGAGAUAGAUCCUUCUUCGGACUCAUUACAAGGUGCUGCAUGGUUGUCGUCAGCUCGUGCCGUGAGGUGUCAGGUUAAGUCCUAUAACGAGCGCAACCCCCAUCGUUAGUUGCCAACGAGUAAUGUCGGGAACUCUAACGAAACUGCCGGUGCAAACCGUGAGGAAGGUGGGGAUGACGUCAAAUCAUCACGGCCCUUACGUCCUGGCUACACACGUGCUACAAUGGUCGGUACAAAGGGCAGCGAAGCCGCGAGGUGGAGCG